rnacentral:lncRNA from 1 species
AUGGAGAACAAGAAGGCAUGUUCUGGAAGGGUUCCAGGAUCCCGUCAACAUUGGCAGAAGGAAGGGCCCAAACUUCUCCCGAGCUGGAUGGAUGAGCAGCCUGGUAGAAUGUCCUACCUGGGUCACAGGAUACAGCAGCAGAAAAAAAUAGCACAUCCAUGGCCUCCUGCUGAUGUAAUGUCACUGGAUCAACAGAGCAGUCAUACUUGCAGGCACACAGGCACAGACCCAGCGUGUGGGGCAAAGGAACCUCGAUUCAGUUCAAGAAGCAAUUAUCGAUCACCUUCCAGCAGAGACUGGACCCUGGGAUACAGAGACAAGCUGGUGAUCUAGCCGAGGCAUGACCCUCAGAACAGAGGUCCACAAACUAUGGUCCAUGUGCCAUGGCUGUCCUGUCUCCUGUUUUUGUACAGCCCAUGAGCUGAGAAUGAUUUUCACAUUCACAAAUAGUUGGGGGAAAAAAAAUCCAAAGAAGAACAUUUGAACGUUUUAUGAAGUUUGAACUUCCAUGUCCAUCGAUAAAGCUUUAUCAGAAUAUGGACCUGCCUAUUCAUUUAUGAAUGUGUCCGCUUUUGCACCACAGCAGCAGAGGUGAGCAGCUUCCUUGGGGGCCGUGUGGCAUGCAAAAGCCCAAAGUAUUUACUACCUGGUGUUUCACAAGAGUUUGCUGACCCCUUCCAUAGAACAACGAAGCAAAGCAAAUACAAAUUCUGAGCUAGAGCCCAGUCUUUUAACAUUCAAAUCUGCGGUGUCCUUUUGCAGUCCUCAAGCCUUUGGGUCUCUGGGUCGCUCAUAUAGACCUGCCUCCCAAGGAUGGCUCCUGGCCUGGGCAGGGUUGACAAACUGCGCAGGAGAGCCUGGGUGCAGGGUGGCCUACGACCUCUCCCUCCAGACCCGAGGGGCUGAGGAGGAAGGCUUGCCCCUUGGGAGACGUGCAGGUGCCUGGUCCAGAGCCCCACAUACCCCAUCCUGCCUGUUGCAUUUGAGCCACUGAGGUUGCCCCACGUCAGCUGGUGGAGGGUUUGCCUGGUGACAGGUCUUCCAUUUAGAUAUAAUCACCUUUUUAUACUCAUGCAGCUUUCUGAAUGCGUCUCCCCACCUGGGGCUUUCCCUGAUGAUUGAAAAGGGCUGAACCAACAAAUGGUAUUAUCUCCUCUGAAUGAUCUCCGUUUAUCACCUGGAGGAGCCCAGAAACUUCCACCUUAGCUUCUCUUUGUUGCAGCAACAGGUGCUCAGGAAGCCGGUGGGGGUGGGCGAGGGGGAGGCCUGCUUUAAACACCGGAACGGAAGGGGCAAGAGGAGGAAGGCUGUGGAAUGCUCUUUGGGGGAGAUCUUUAGACACAGGAUCAGCUUCACUAUUCUGGAGAGAGCUGGCACAGAAUCUUUGCGUGACUCGGGGGGUGGCAGGUGACACCCCAGUCUUGUGAGGUUCUGAAAAAUGUUCUAUGAUGGACCUGAGUGCUUUAGACAAAGUAAGGAUACUAAAGAAUGUUCCUUAAAAAUUUUGAGGAAAAAAGAUUCCAUGGGAAGAUUUGUUUUUCUUUAUAUGUUUCAGUUCUGUAUAAAUAUUGCUGACUUGAGCCCGUUUUGAGACCAUAUUGUCUACCUAGUCCCAUCUGAUGAGAGCCCAAGAGACUCCAUGAUUCCGAAGUGCCAAUUUUUUAUUUUUUUAAUGUUUUUUUAAUAAAAAAUUUUUAAAAAAAAUUUUUAAUAUAAUU